rnacentral:lncRNA from 1 species
CCUAUCAUAUUUCACCAUGUCUCAUAUCGAUCCCUAUUUAAUAAUUUCUCAUGCAAUUGGCAAAAUUAGAGAAUGAAACUUCCACAUACUCAUGUACACACAUAAUAAACAUAGAAUAUAGCAAUUAAUUAUUUUUAUGACUCAGUUUUGUGGUCCCGAAACCACUUUCCGACUAGGGUCACACUAGGGCUGUCACAACUCUCCCCCACAUAAGAAAUUUUCGUCCCCGAAAAUCUUAC